rnacentral:rRNA from 1 species
GUGUCAGCCGCCGCGGUAAUACAGAGACUGCGAGCGUUAUUCGGAUUCACUGGGCGUAAAGGGUGCGCAGGCGGCCGUGUGUGUCAGGUGUGAAAUCUCGAGGCUUAACCUCGAAAUUGCGCCUGAAACUACACGGCUAGAGUACUGGAGAGGGAAACGGAAUUCACGGUGUAGCAGUGAAAUGCGUAGAUAUCGUGAGGAACACCAGAGGCGAAGGCGGUUUCCUGGACAGUUACUGACGCUCAGGCACGAAAGCGUGGGGAGCAAAAGGGAUUAGAUACCCCAGUAGUCC